UUUUUGAACUAAAUAUGCAUAAUAUUCCAACUAUAUGUGCCUCUUUUUUAUCGAGAUGAAUAUAAUUUUUUUACAUUACGUUUAUGAAAUGAUAUGCAUAUUUAGUAAACAUUAUAUGCACAUUUAGUUUUAAAAUUAUUAAUAUUCACUUAAAAAUAAGUGUACAGCUUUAAAGAUGAACUGGGAAGGUUCUUCUUCAGCUGAACGUUUUAUCAAACACCUCAUGUGCAUCAAAAUCCCCUUCUCACAACAGAUCAAAACCUUUUCCUCCAUAGCAUAUUAGCAUCCUUACCAAUGAUGGUGUUCAAUCAAUUGCCCAAUUCAGGUAGGAUCCUUAUUCUCUGACUAUUAAAUCGACCAGCAACUGCCAUUUUCUCGGCCAAUUGAUCGUCUCCAAAUUAAGAUUGUCAAGAAAUUACCCCCAAGUUCCACAAACCCCAUGCCUUUUCUGACUAUUGAGAUAAGUGUGAUAGUUACCGUCAACGAGGCACAAUCUCGCAGCGGCAGAGGUGGUGGUGGAGGUGGAUACUGCGGCGGAGGUGGGGGUGGAGGCUAAACGGCAACGGCGAUCGCCGUGAAGGAGGAUACAUUCGUGGUGGGUACGGAGGUGGUGGAGGAUAUUGAGGUGAAGGUGGCUAUGGUGGUGGCCGUCGUGAGGGUGGCUACGGAGGUGGAGGUUACGGCGGCGGUGGGGACCGAUACUCCUCCCGUGGUGACACCCGUGGAAACUGGAGGAACUGGAUGAGAGAGAAGGAAAAGUAGGAACGACUGGAAAAUUAAAGUUCGUGUUUCGCGCUUGAUUGAUGUGGUGAACUUCCGCAAACAAAAUAGUUUAAUUAGUUUGGACAUGGUCCUCACCGACGAAGAGGGUGAUUAUGUGCAUGCCUCUAUUAAAUCCAAUUUUGUCCGGCACUUCCGUCCAAAAUUAACUGAGGGACAAAUCUAUACAAUCAGAUAUUUUUCGGUCCAACCUAAUAAGGAACAAUACCGUAUUGUUGGCGACAACAAGAUAAUGAUACAAUUUUUUCAAAAUACCGUUAUUAGGGCCGUUGGGAAUAUAGAUAAGAUUCCAAUGCAUCGAUUUGAUUGUGUACAAUUACAGUACACUUGAAUAAGUUUGUUAAAAACUACUCACUUCCUGGUAUGUAUGAUUUUGUUAUUUAUUCCGUACUAAAGUUUAUUUGAGUUAUUGUGAAACAAUUUUGCCAAAUACUUUGUCUUUUUUUCCUUUGUUGUUUUUUUUCUCUUUUUAGAUGUCGUUGGUAUGGUUGUGAAUGAAGUUGGAGAUUCUAUCAAAAUAGAAGACCAAUGGGGACAACAUUGACAUUGAGAUUGAGAGGUCUAGCUGAAACUGAUGGGAAAUCGAAGGUGAGAUUUGAUCUGGUUGUGAUUGGGGAAGAUGAUUGAAGAGAUAGAGACGACUGCAUUUUGAUUGUGGAGAAAUAGAUCGGAAGUUGCUGAAGUCUUUAUCACACUAAAAAAAAUAACAAGUACUUUAGUUUAGUCUAGACUUUUUGUAACGCCCCGACUUCUAAACACCAUUAAUUAGGUUAAUUAUCUUUAAUUAGCAGCGGAAAUCCUAAUUUAGUCGGAGCGUCACAUGCCGUACCUCCCUCGCGGGAAAUACAAGGCGACAUAACCUUUUUACAUUUACUGACUACU